AAACAGUGGCAAAAAACGCAUCUAGAAAAAGUCAUUUUUGAAGCGUUAUGUUGUUGCACUUAGAAUUUUCCAUAUUUUUCAAAUAAAAUAAUGGUAUGAUAUUAUAUAUUUCCAUGUUAAUGUGUAUGAUGAGCAUAAAGACAAUUUGUUAAGGAUUAUUUUGGUGUUUGAUUUGUCAUGAUCGGAUGAAAAUUGUUGAAGCUGUCGAGAAAAAUGCGAAAUGGCAUGAAAUUGAAAGAUGUCAUAGCAAACAUGGAAGCGACGAGAGAUAAAGAAUCACUAUUUUUUCAAUAUGGAAGGUUCACUGAAGACAAAUUUAACAAAGUCUAUUAAAAAUUGCACUACAAAAGAUACAGAGUUUUGAUCUGAUGAGGCAGCUGCAAUGCUGAAACUUAAAAGGCACAAAAAUGCUGAAUAGGUUAGAAGAGGUUAAAUGGCAAGAAAGGCAGAAACUCAAUCCAGGCCAAUGUGAAAACUAAAAGAAAAAUGAGAGAGAAAGAAAGAAGGAUUGUAGAAUGAGACAGCGACAAGAAGUAGAGAAGAGUAACUCAAAACUAAAUUAGUUAAAAAAGCAGAACUAAUAUCAAAAUCAUAUGAUGAAGGAAAAAGAGUGGAAAGAAAUUUAUGUGCCUGCACAAACAGGAUCUGUCAUAGGAGAUAAGAGACAAUGUUGUUGCAUUUAUAGAUGAAUCUACUAUGACUGAUAAUAGGGGUACAUUUUCAACACCAAGACAUCUGAAAAUUUGAAAAAAAAGGUUACAAAAAGAUUAUAGAUAUGUGAACUUUCGUUAGAUAAUUCAUAGUGUAGUGUCCAUAACCAUGAACUUAAUUUCUUUUUUCUGGUUAGUGACAUUCUUGAGUAAAAAAGUGUAAGUGUUAGUUGUGUGAUAUGAAUACAAAGUAUUGAUAAUAAUGUAUCACUUAGAGAACUUAAUAUUGCUUA
rnacentral:lncRNA from 1 species